rnacentral:rRNA from 1 species
UGGGGAAUAUUGGGCAAUGCGGGAAACCGUGAUCCAGCAAUGCCGCGUGAGCGAUGAAGGCCUUAGGGUUGUAAAGCUCUUUUACCAGGGAUGAUAAUGACAGUACCUGGAGAAUAAGCUCCGGCUAACUCCGUGCCAGCACCCGCGGAAAUACGGAGGGUGCAAGCGUUAUCCGGAUUUACUGGGUUUAAAGGGUGCGUAGGCGGCUUUUUAAGUCAGUGGUGAAAGCCUAGACACUUAAUGUCAGAAGUGCCAUUGAUACUGUAGAGCUUGAGUCGAGGAGAGGUAAGCAGAAUUUGUGGUGUAGCAGUGAAAUGCUUAGAUACCAUGAGGAAUACCAACAGCGAAAGCAGCUUACUGGCCUUGUACUGACGCUGAGGCACGAAAGCGUGGGGAGCAAACAGGAUUAGAUACCCGUGUAGUCC